rnacentral:lncRNA from 1 species
CCAUACCUCUAAGUUGAAAACCCACGAGUAUUGAAGAAGAAAGAACUCAAAAUCUUCAAUCCUAGCUCCAACUUCUUCUUCUUCUUCUUCCCUCUUCUUCUCUUCUUCACUCAAGAACCCUAACUCUUACUCUUUUAAAAUGGAACAAAAAUGAUCCACAAUCAGCCUAACACAAUAAUAUAACCUCAAAAGAAAAGAUUUGUGAAAAGACCAAAAUGCCCUUAAAUUUCCGGACGGACUCCUUGCUAACUGCCCAACUUUCAAAGGGCAUAACUCG